GGGAGGUAUGAAAGGCAACAGAGUUAUUCACGAUGCAGCCAGGGAAAAGAGUCAGUUGAAAUCAAAGCUGCUGUCUUGAUAUUCCUGCCUACAAAGCAUGGAAAUCUUAUGAACAUGGUCUUUCCUUUGCCAAUGUCCAAAGCUAACAAAUAAAGGAAAGGAAGAGCAAAUGGGAAAAAUAUGAAACAAUGCAGAAUGUACGUGAAGUACACCAUUACAAGUUUGCACAAAAGGAUAUGUCAGAAAACAUGCAAACUCUGCUUCUAACUCAGGGAAGGGUUGUCC